rnacentral:rRNA from 1 species
AUUGAACGCUGGCGGGAGGCUUAACACAUGCAAGUCGAGCGAGUGGCGGACGGGUGAGUAAUGUAUGGGAAAAUGCCUGAUGGAGGGGGAUAACUACUGGAAACGGUGGCUAAUACCGAAUACCAUCGGAUGGGCCAAUAUGGGAUUAGCUAGUGGGUGGGGUAAAGGCUCACCACGGCUACGAUCCCUAGCUGGUGUGAGAGGAUGACCCGCCAACCUGGAACGGAGACACGGCCCAGACUCCGACGGUAGGCAGCAGUGGGGAAUAUUGCACAAUGGGGGCAACCCUGAUGCAGCCAUGCCGCGUGGAUGAAGAAGGCCUUCGGGUUGUAAAGCACUUUGAGCUAAGAGGCGAUAUCAGCAGAAGAAGCACCGGCUAACUCCGUGCCAGCAGCCGCGGUAAUUC